GCCGAGGUCGAGGCCCUUGUUGGCUUUGGUGACUACCGCUGGGACACGCUGAAGGGCCUGUACGAGAGCUAUGUAAACUGGCUGAGACGGAAGAUGCCUUGGCUUGGGACAACCAUAGAGGUCGCCAGGAAUUACAUCUUGGAAAUGACAAGGAGCAGCCUGCCAGAGGAACAACCACCAUCACCACCACCACCAGUAGCAGUGCCACCACUGCCACCAGCACACGUGGCACCACCGCCCCACCGAGGAAGCCGACUGCUCCGUCCUUCGAGUACCUCCUCCAGAUGUGGCGUCCCGUGACCCUAGACGAGCUGCAGGCCAAGGUCCACAGGAUGGUGGGCACGCCAGCGGCACGGCCUGCAACUCCAGGCCCCCUGUCACCGUGAUGCCCGCCAGGCCCCCCGUCAUGUGAUGACUGCCUGGCCGGCCCGGCCCACCACACCGCCACCCAAG